rnacentral:rRNA from 1 species
GAACUGCCAUCAAAACUUUUCGGCUAGAGUUUGAUAGAGGAAAGCAGAAUUUCUAGUGUAGAGGUGAAAUUCGUAGAUAUUAGAAAGAAUACCAAUUGCGAAGGCAGCUUUCUGGAUCAUCACUGACACUGAGGAACGAAAGCAUGGGUAGCGAAGAGGAUUAGAUACCCUCGUAGUCCAUGCCGUAAACGAUGUGUGUUAGACGUUGGAAAUUUAUUUUCAGUGUCGCAGCGAAAGCGAUAAACACACCGCCUGGGGAGUACGACCGCAAGGUUAAAACUCAAAUGAAUUGACGGGGACCCGCACAAGUAGUGGAGCAUGUGGUUUAAUUCGAAGAUACGCGCAGAACCUUACCAACACUUGACAUGUUCGUCGCAACUUUAAGAGAUUAAAGUUUUCGGUUCGGCCGGACGAAACACAGGUGCUGCAUGGCUGUCGUCAGCUCGUGUCGUGAGAUGUUGGGUUAAGUCCCGCAACGAGCGCAACCCUCACUUUUAGUUGCCAUCAUUAAGUUGGGCACUCUGAAAGAACUGCCAGUGAUAAGCUGGAGGAAGGUGGGGAUGACGUCAAGUCCUCAUGGCCCUUACGUGUUGGGCUACACACGUGCUACAAUGGUAUUUACAAAAGGAAGCAAGACGGCGACGUUAAGCAAAUCCUUAAAAAAUACCUCAGUUCGGAUUGCACUCUGCAACUCGAGUGCAUGAAGCUGGAAUUACUAGUAAUCGUGGAUCAGCGUGCCACGGUGAAUGCGUUCCCGGGUCUUGUACACACCGCCCGUCACACCAUGGGAGUUGGUUCUACCUUAAGGCAAGGUUUAAAACCCUUGACCACGGUAUAGUCAGCGACUGGGGUGAAGUCGUAACAAGGUAACC